GAUGAACGCUGGCGGCGUGCUUAACACAUGCAAGUCGAACGGGAUCGGCUGGAGCUUGCUCCGGCCGUGAGAGUGGCGAACGGGUGAGUAAUGCGUGACCGACCUGCCCCAUACACCGGAAUAGCUCCUGGAAACGGGUGGUAAUGCCGGAUGCUCCGACAUGACGCAUGUCGUGUUGGGAAAGAUUCAUCGGUAUGGGAUGGGGUCGCGUCCUAUCAGGUAGUCGGCGGGGUAACGGCCCACCGAGCCUACGACGGGUAGCCGGCCUGAGAGGGCGACCGGCCACAUUGGGACUGAGAUACGGCCCAGACUCCUACGGGAGGCAGCAGUGGGGAAUAUUGCACAAUGGGCGCAAGCCUGAUGCAGCGACGCCGCGUGCGGGAUGACGGCCUUCGGGUUGUAAACCGCUUUUGACUGGGAGCAAGCCCUUCGGGGUGAGUGUACCUUUCGAAUAAGCAC
rnacentral:rRNA from 1 species